rnacentral:rRNA from 1 species
UACGGAGGGUGCGAGCGUUGUCCGGAAUCACUGGGCGUAAAGGGCGCGUAGGCGGUGAAUUGGGUGUGGUGUGAAAGCCCCGGGCUUAACCUGGGAACUGCGCUUGAUACGGCAGAGCUAGAGGAUGGAAGAGGGUCGCGGAAUUCCCAGUGUAGAGGUGAAAUUCGUAGAUAUUGGGAAGAACACCGGUGGCGAAGGCGGCGACCUGGUCCAUUACUGACGCUGAGGCGCGACAGCGUGGGGAGCAAACAGG